rnacentral:rRNA from 1 species
UGACCUCAGAUCAGACAAGGAUACCCGCUGA